GAGCUGUCAAAGACUCACCAGUGGAAGAAAUUACAGGAUAAAUAGGGAAGGAGUGAGGCAUUGUCAGAGAAAGAAGUAGAACCCCCAUUUUUCUUCUUCUCUCACAGUUUUAUUUGAGUAAUUAAGCUAUUGGUGUUAUUCAUCUGAUAUGUAGAGGUUGUGGCAUGGAGUUCAGCAAAUGUGUGGAUCACCACCUUUACUUAGAUAAGUUUUAAUAAGCCGGUUUGGAGAUCAGGACGGUCGGAGGCACGCUCACACUAUCAAUGGACCAUCUCGGUAUGGUGGCUUGCAUAUUUUGGGAAUAUGGCAUGUAUAGCGUUAUAAUCCCUUUGUGUAUAUAAUCUUAUGAUAUAGCUCAUGGAUGGCAUGGAAAUGUUUGAAAAUGAUUAGCUAUUGGAGUGGCUAAUCGAGAUUAUAUUUGAUAACACGUAUGCUUUAUGUGCUAA